GCCGACUCUAGUUCCAAUGGAAGAAAUUGCUAAGCUGGAGCGAGGUCAGGUUAUGCAGAGAAUCCUUCAGGUCCGGUUCCACCAUCAUCUGUUGCCCCUUAAGCUGCUUUUAUGGUGCAAUGGCAAGAAGUAUCCUGUGAAGUUGAGACCUGAUAUUGGGUAUUUUGUAAAACCUCUUCCUAUGGAAAUCAAUAUGUUCUCAAUCAAGGAAUCUCAGCUGCCUGGAAUGUUUGAAUAUAUAAGGAGGUGUACUUUCAUUGACCAUAUUGAAGAACUUAACAAGCUUGAAAGCCCCUUAGCAAAGGACAACUUCCUUGUAAUCUGUGAAACUUUGGCUUUGAAGGUGCUUAGUAAUUCCAAUCUUUUUCUUCUAUCCGUGGACAUGCCUGUUGGUACCAACCUCGAUGAUGCAUCAGGUGUAAGGCUUAGGUUCAGUGGUGAGAUAUUAAGCAACUCAAUCCCAUGUUUAAUUACUAUUACUCUUGAAGGUAGAUGCUCCGAACCGCUGGACACUAAAGUAAAAGUCAACUGCGAAGAGACUGUUUUUGGCCUGAACUUUUUGAACAGGGUUGUGAAUUAUUUGACUGAGCCUGCUCGAUUGUGAUGAAAAUCUAGUUUACUCUGAAAUGAAG
rnacentral:misc_RNA from 1 species